UACCAGCUCUCCGAGUAGUGUGGAUGUUUAUUGGGCCUAAAGCAUCCGUAGCUUGCUUAAAUAAGUCCCCUGUUAAAUCCACCGAUUCAAUCGUUGGAUUGCGGAGGAUACUGUUUGGCUAGGGGACGGGAGAGGCCGACGGUAUUUCUGGGGUAGGGGUGAAAUCCUAUAAUCCCAGGAAGACCACCAGUGGCGAAGGCUGUCGGCUAGAACGCGCCCGACGGUGAGGGAUGAAAGCUGGGGGAGCGAACCGGAUUAGAUACCCGGGUAGUCCCAGCUGUAAACGAUGCAGGCUAGGUGCUUGGACGGCCACGUGCCGUUCUAGUGCCGCAGGGAAGCCGUUAAGCAUGCCGCCUGGGGAUACGGCCGCAAGGCUGAAACUUAAAGGAAUUGGCGGGGAGCACCACAAGGGGUGAAGCUUGCGGUUU
rnacentral:rRNA from 1 species